CUAAGCUUAAAUCCUUAAUUUGAUGAAUCAAAACUCAAAAUUAUCUUUUAAAAAUAUGAAUUGAUCAAUUAGGAUGCUAGAAAUUGGUUUGGAUUGAAAGGAAUUGAUCAUGUAAAAGUUAGAAACUUAAAUUUCCAAAACUGUCUUAAUGAAACUGCUUCAAUUCAGCCACUGUAUUUUGUUAAAUUAAAUAUGUAAACAAGCUUUAAAAUUAAUAAAAUUUUAUAGAGAUAUAGGUUGGGAUGUUGGGAAGGUUUUGGUAAAAGGAAAUGUCCAGAAGAUGAAAGGAAAGGAAUUUAUAGCUAAGUGAAUACAGACGGCUCAGUGUGACACUCUAAACAGAUUUCAGCACUGUGUUUAGGCUGUUUGGCCAUGUAAAUAAACUUUACAAAUUAUGAAAUUUUACAGAGAUGUAACCUAAGAUGUUAAGAAGGUUUUUUUGAAAAGGGAAAAUCCAAUUGAUGAGGGAAAAUGGAGAUAUUAAUAAAAGAAAGAAGACUGCUCAGUAUGUAAAAGCUGAAAAUUCUGAUUCUGUAAUUGGAUUAUUUGAAUAGGUAAAUAAACUCUAAAAUUCAUGAAAUUUAAUAUGGGAGUGCCUUAAGAUGCUGGGAACAUCGUGUGAAAAUUUCAUACCAAAAGGAUUUUUAGAAAUGAAAAUAUAUUCAAGAGAAUGUAAGUGACUGAUAUGCUGAAAAUUCUGGAUCUCCUAAAUGUGCACUAAAUUGAGCAUAUUAAAACAUAAGUGAAUAGACUAUGAACAUAAGCAUAUAAUGGAUGAACAUAAAGCUUAAUGUGUGUAAUUUCUGUCUCCAAAAUUUUAGAUUCAAAUUUAAUGAAUAAAAAUAUCAAAAAACCUUGAAUAUCAAUAAAGAGCUAGAAGCAAAACUAAAAAAGUUUAAUAUGUGUUUAAAUGUGAAUAUAGGCCGAGGAUUACCACGAAACUGUUUUGAAAAUUAUAAGUGCUCGAGAGGAACCAAAUUGUUGCUUUCAAGGUAGAGGUGAUCCAGAUCCAUUAGCUUCUUGAUUUCCUUCUUCCAACAAGAAGCCUGUGAAUGAUGUAACUAGUUGUCAGAUAUUAUAAGUUGUUAAUAAGCUAUAUGAACUCUAGUUUCUCCAUAGUACCUUUGUGAAUGAUAUUAGUAUUGUUUGUAUGAAGCUAUAAUGUAAACAGUAUUUUGAGAAUGUGAUAUAUGAUUAUACAAAGUGUAUGAAAGAUUGUAAUCAAU